AUUGAACGCUGGCGGCAGGCUUAACACAUGCAAGUCGAGCGGGGUGAUGGUGCUUGCACUAUCACUUAGCGGCGGACGGGUGAGUAAUGCUUAGGAAUCUGCCUAUUAGUGGGGGACAACAUCUCGAAAGGGAUGCUAAUACCGCAUACGUCCUACGGGAGAAAGCAGGGGAUCACUUGUGACCUUGCGCUAAUAGAUGAGCCUAAGGCGGAUUAGCUAGUUGGUGGGGUAAAGGCCUACCAAGGCGACGAUCUGUAGCGGGUCUGAGAGGAGGAUCCGCCACACUGGGACUGAGACACGGCCCAGACUAGUACGGGCGGCAGCAGUGGGGAAUAUUGGACAAUGGGGGGAACCCUGAUCCAGCCAUGCCGCGUGUGUGAAGAAGGCCUUAUGGUUGUAAAGCACUUUAAGCGAGGAGGAGGCUCUUUUGGUUAAUACCCAAGAUGAGUGGACGUUACUCGCAGAAUAAGCACCGGCUAACUCUGUGCCAGCAGCCGCGGUAA
rnacentral:rRNA from 1 species